rnacentral:ncRNA from 2 species
UUGCACUACUAGGGGUGCCGUUUUGCGGCUGAGAGAAGGAGACCCUUCAACCCUUUGGACCUGAUCCGGGUAAUACCGGCGUAGGAAAGUAGGAAGCGUUCCUG